rnacentral:misc_RNA from 1 species
GGAGAGGACUCUUCUUAACUAUCUCGUUUUUAAGAUUCUUGACCAGUGCUUGAUUGUUAUUCUUGUCUAGAACAGCGAACCGAUUGCGAGCCACAAAAACAGCUGAACUCCCAGCUCCUUUCUUUGCUUCCUGUAUGUAAUCACCCCUUCCAGCAGAGUCUUUGGGAACGAUAUAUAGUUCAUAUGAGCCGCCAUCCAUAUCAGAACAGAUCAAAAUCGCAUUUUCCGUGGGACUAAAAGACAGUAUCUUAGGCCCCUGAUUCAAGCUAACAGAUCCAGGUCUUCUUAUCGGAACAACCUGAAUAUCUUUUUGAGAUGAGAACUCGUAAUACCUCAAGAAUCGAUCUUUGACAUAGUACAUUGAGUCACCAGUAACAGAAAAAGCAGGGCGUUCUCUC